rnacentral:lncRNA from 1 species
GGCCAGUUAACUAACUGGCUAGUUAAUGUUUCCUGUAUGUCCAGCAGGAAGGGAGGAGAGGCAACCUUCCAACCACAUCUUGGUCUCUCAUUGAACAAUAUUGGACUUGUACAGUUGACCUGGACAAUAUUUAGUAUUGAGCUCAAGUCUUCUAUUUUAGGAACCCAGGAUUCCAUUCUGGACCAGUAAAACACUCAAUUAUUAUCUUGGAUGAAGGAAACUGUAGGAAAUAAAACUACUAAAAACUAUGCAGCAACAGUGAUUUCUAUCUACUGAGAAUUAAAGAUGCAAGGCAAGAAUAUGAUUUGAAGUCUCUGGGCAAUCAGGAUGUGACCCAAAAACAGGAAGAAGAGUUAUGAAACAGAAAUGCAUCUUUCCAGAGAUGCAGAGAACAAAAUUUAGAGGUAAACUACUGCUACCACCAAGGCUGCC